rnacentral:rRNA from 1 species
CGGUUUUCCGUAUGUGAACCUGCGGAAGGAUCAUUACCGAGUUGAUUCUGGCUCCGUCCCGAUCCUCCCACCCUUUGUAUACCUUCCUCUGUUGUUUUGGCGGGGUGCGGUCUUCCGCGGCCGCCCCCCGAUUUUGGGGGGUGGCUAGUGCCCGCCAGAGGACUAUCAAACUCCAGUCAGUAAACGUUGCAUUCUGAAAAAAAUAUUAAAUAAACUAAAACUUUCAACAACGGAUCUCUUGGUUCUGGCAUCGAUGAAGAACGCAGCGAAAUGCGAUAAGUAAUGUGAAUUGCAGAAUUCAGUGAAUCAUCGAAUCUUUGAACGCACAUUGCGCCCCUUGGUAUUCCGGGGGGCAUGCCUGUUCAAGCGUCAUUUCAACCCUCUGCUCUGCUUGGGAUUGGGCACCGCCAUUUGCCGGGACGCCUCAAAGACCUCGGCGGUGGCGUCUUGCCUCAAGCGUUAAAAAUACACCUUGCUGUCGGAGCUGAAGGCGUCGCCCGCCGGACGACCCUUCUGAACUUUUCUCUGGUUGACCUACCCCUCAGUUCGGAUAUUCGUAGAAGGAGA